AUGCGAUUUAAACAAGAGAUUAGACUACUCACAUUAAGCACCAUCAGACAGUGUCAACCAGUUGAGACUUCUUCCCUAAGUGGCUGUUUACCCAUGUGGUCGAUCUUUCCUCUCCUGAAGCUCUUCCUACCUCACCUCCUCCUCUGGCCUCACUCUCUCUCCCAUCUCCGGUGGUUCCAGCGGUGGAAAGAAGAGGGAUGGAGGCCUGUAUCCCCCUACUAUGAUAUUAGGUGUUGUUAUCUUUCUAAUAAACCAGAUGUGCCAGUUAGUCUUCUCCUGCUCUUCCUUGCUCUAUACCUGGUGGCUGGAGCUCUUGCAAGCAGUGGAGGAUGGCUCCCUGGCGGAUCUGCUCCUCUGCAGGGUUUGGCCCCUGGCUUCACCCUCCCAUACACUUCCCAGCUGCCGCCUGUCCAUGUUGAUGGCAAGUUGUUUGGCUUGGUGGGUGUCAUCGACGAUAGAGCCUAUGCAGGAUACGCGCCUUCUUUAUCCAUGGCAUCUCGCCGUCUGCUAGAUCCUUGUUCAGCGACGUCCUCUUCCUUUGGCCUUUCCCUUUUGCCCUGGUAUCAAUGA
rnacentral:rRNA from 1 species